UGCAGACUUGUCUCAUUCAGUGCUUCCUCUACAAUGGACCGCACUGGCCAAAAUGGCUGCCACAGUGAACCUGUAGUUCAUGGGCCUCAUUCAUGUAACUUUUCCAUGAAUGUUGGGGAUAAAUUUGUACUACUGACAAUU
rnacentral:snoRNA from 1 species